UACGUAGGGGGCUAGCGUUGUCCGGAAUCAUUGGGCGUAAAGCGCGUGUAGGCGGCCCGGUAAGUCCGCUGUGAAAGUCGGGGGCUCAACCCUCGAAUGCCGGUGGAUACUGUCGGGCUCGAGUACGGAAGAGGCGAGUGGAAUUCCUGGUGUAGCGGUGAAAUGCGCAGAUAUCAGGAGGAACACCAAUGGCGAAGGCAGCUCGCUGGGACGUGACUGACGCUGAGACGCGAAAGCGUGGGGAGCGAACAGG
rnacentral:rRNA from 1 species